UGGGCUGACCGGGCGACCGCGUUGUCUCCUUUGGGGGACACCGAGGAAGGUCCGGGCUCCACAGGGCAAGGUGGUGGCCAACAGCCACCCGGGGAAACCCGCGGGACAGUGCCACAGAAAACAGACCGCCGCUCCUCGCGGGGCGGUAAGGGUGAAACGGUGGUGUAAGAGACCACCAGCGUGCCGGGCGACCGGCGCGGCUAGGUAAACCCCACCUGGAGCAAGAUCAAGAAGCCGUCCUCUUCGGAGGACGGUGCGCACACGUUCGAGGGCUGCUCGCCCGAGUGUGUGGGUGGAUCGCUCGAGACCGGUGGCAACACCGGUCCUAGAUGGAUGGUCGCCCACCGGAGGGCCGCAAGGCUUCCGGACGACAAAACCCGGCCUACAGGUCAGCCCAUCCG
rnacentral:RNase_P_RNA from 1 species